CCGAGUCUGUAUGUGAUAUGUUGGCUCGGAGAUCAACGGUGGAAUCUUUUUCGCGUGCAAUGUGUUACCCGCGAAAAGAUUUUUCCCCCUGCAUGCAGACAUCACAUGCAAAAUGGCGUCGAGUUUGAUGACUUGAAAGCAACGUGCCGAUCAGUGAGGAGUCGGAUGCUAUUAUUGCAGCUACAACACUGAGGCACAAAGUCAGGAACACACCACCAUCAUGAUCAUAUCAAGAAUAAACCGUAGACUCAUUGCCAACAGGCUUUUGGAGAUAAGCGGUGGGCGACCCAACAGCACUGCCAUACCUAAGACAGCUCUCUUCCUCUUCUUCAUCGGGAUUGGCCUGUCUGUUUUCAGCUCCCAUCGGCUCCUGACAACACAAUCCUGUCGCUCUCUCCUACCUAAACAGGAAUGAUGUGAUUGCCAGCAGCUAACCUGAUAGAUUUGCCAUAAAUAUCCACUUCUGUCAAGUAUGUGGGAAGGAAGAGGGGUCCAUUUUAAUUCAGUCAAGUUUGAUUUUCAAACUUCAAUUCAACUCAAACCACACUAUGGGAUUUCAGUAUCUAUUUUGCUGGAUUUGGGGCAACCAGCUUCUGUAAACAUGUACAUAGCUUUGUAAAUGAACUCUAACCUUUGACCUGGCAUGAUGGAAAUCAGUGCAGUAAUCAUCCAAUGGAUGUGUACAUAUGUGUCGUAUGGACUAUGAAUUGUUGUUGCUGAUAAAUACAAUAAAGUGUGUAGCAUGUUAUACGGUGGGCUUUAAUGUCAUUUCCAGAAAGAAUUGUGUGCAUGUUUUCAGCUGAUUUGAUUUCCCAACAGCUAUAUGCAUGCAAUUUACAUGCAAUGUACAUAUGAGGAGGUGCUUGUCUGUGAACUGAUUUUCACAGUUACAGUGAAACUUUAUGUACAGUGUACAAACCACAUUAUGCAUUAUACUGUAAUGAAAAUGGUUUGGAUAGGAUGAAGAUAUGGCUUCUUUUUUUUUAAAUGGUUCAAGUCAUAUUGCACAGAAUAUUUGCCAUCAGGAGAGGUGGCAUUUGUGAAGGAAAAAGUCAUGUAAUUGUAACAAUGUUGAAUUAUUCACAGAUUUUACAAAAGAGACUUUAAAGGAUCGUUCCUCAUGUGUUUGCUUUGUAGGAAUGUCGACAAAUUUCUGUAAGAUAAUGAUGUGUCUGUAUUGUGAAAAACAUUAUUGAAGCAAAGAGCAAUUUCAAUGCAUUGUGUAUAUUUUUCAAAAUGGUGUUUAUUUCGUGUAUAGUGUUUGCGGAGGUGGUGAAACUUUGGUUGGCGGCUUAACAAAGGAACUUGUAUGUUAAUUUGAAAAUUGUAUUCAUAAAUACCUGAGACAGUUUACCCAUUCCUAUUGGUCAAGAGCCCGUCACGUGGGUGGUUUUAAACCGCUGAUAAAACACCAGCUGGUUUAAACACAAUUCCUGCGUUUUGUGCCACCAUUGCACAGUACGCGCCGCGCACGCCAAUUUCCGUAUAAGGAGAUUUUUAGCACUAUGCGUGCCAGGCAUAUACCAAACACAUGGCCAGAUGGGUGUUUCACAAAAAAUUGUGCAUUUUUAACUUGUUUUGACUUUUUGACUGAAUGGUAUUUAUGAAUGGGAAUAAAUAUGUGCUUGGCCAGUUUGCCUGAAUGCGGGUAAUGAUCCUCGCCUUCGGCUAGGGCCAUAAUCCAUGUCCAGGCCCCCAGCUGGUUUUACAUAUUUAUUCCCUUAUUAAGGUCUACAAUACUAACUUGGUUUUACUUCGCUUAAUUUUAAAAUUGCGUUAACUUCAGUGUGCAAAUGAUAGUCAUUCAUAGAUUGAAGAGCUUAAUAAAAUGUUAAAGGAGAAUUGCU